rnacentral:RNase_P_RNA from 1 species
GAGAGGAGGGGCAGGCGGUCGCGUCGGUGCUGUCGCUACUAGGCAGCAAGAUGAGGAAAGUCCGGGCUUUCAGAAGAACACACCGCUGGGGAAAUUCCCAGUGCGGGCAACCGUGAGGAUAGUGCCACAGAAACAUACCGCCGAUGGCUGAAUCAGCACCGGUUCAGCACAGGUAAGGGUGCAAAGGUAGGGUAAGAGCCUACCAGCAACGUCGAGAGGCGUUGGCUCGGUAAACCCCGGUGGAAAGCAAGGCCGCAGCGGACAGGAUUAUGGCUGUUCUUCGCCCCUGUUGGCUGCAUCGAGAUCACGGUACCCAGUUGGGGAAGGGUGGUCUCGGUGGUGGUGCGCCGCAAGAGGGUGAUGGCAACAUCACUCCCAGAUAGAUGAUCGCCAGUGCAGGUUCACUCUGCAGAUGAACUCUGCACCACAGAACCCGGCUUACAACCUCCUUUCUUUU